rnacentral:lncRNA from 1 species
GAAGAUCACACACAAAGCGAGUAUACACUUAAAUAAACAGGUUUACUUUAUGCCAACAAUUAAGAAUUCAUUUCACAGCCAUUAAAACAGAUUCAAUACAAGAACCAAAUCGCAUUCUGAUUCACAUCUAUUGCAUGCAAAGUUAAGAACAGGGCUUAUGUCACAUACCUCUAACUUUGUACUUAAGAUGCUGAUUAUGAUCGGAAUCCGUCUUUGCAACCUUCCGACUCACCUUCAAACCUCAGGAAAAAUCAAUAAACAAGAGUUAAUUUCACAUAACAAGUCAACGAACUCGAGAUAACAUGAGUUAAUUCGAUCCCUAAAACUUCAAAACAUAAUAAGAUAGAAGAGACGAGACUUCAAUAGUACCUCGCUUGAAUCGCUUUUGGGAAGGUGAGAGAUCUUCGAAGACACCCUCGAUGAUGAAUCUUUACUAGAUCUACAACAUGGUGACGAGGAGGAGACACACCGGAAGGAGAUUGAAGGUCAGAAAGAACGGCGAACUCGGCAAGACCAGACGGAGAAGAAGAAGAUGAGAACGACGGCGGAUUCGUCAAAAUCGCCGUCUAGGGUUCGAGACAGACCGAGACCGGAAGGAGAUCGACACUCAGAAGACACGGCGAAAUCGCCAAGACCAGACGGAGAAGAAGAAGAUGAGAUUGACUCUCAAUCGAC